rnacentral:rRNA from 1 species
GAUGAACGCUGGCGGCGUGCUUAACACAUGCAAGUCGAACGGAAAGGCCCUGCUCUUGUGGCGUGCUCGUGUGGCGCGCGUGAGAGUCUCACGUGAGUAGGCUGACCAUAACUGUGGGCUAUCUCUAAGAACCCGGAGCUAAAACAGCAUAGGAGCUACUGCUCCCUGGGGGGGGUUGGCGAGUGACGGCGUCUGUGGAUGGACUAGCGGCUUAUGAGCUGGUAGGUGGGGUAGUGGCUUACCACGGCUUUGACGGGUAGGCGGCCUGAGAGGGGGACCGGCAACCAUGGGAGUGAGAUGCGGCGCAGAAGCCUACGGGAGGCAGCAGUGGGGAAUAUUGCACAAUGGGCGGAAGCCUGAUGCAGCAACGCCGCGGGCGGGAUGACGGCCUUCGGGUGGUAAACAGCUUUCGUCGGUGACGAAGAGUGAGUGACGGUAACGGGUAAAGAAGCACCGGCUAACUACGUG